rnacentral:lncRNA from 1 species
CUAAUGUUGCCUCUAUGGGGUCCUCUCCUUUCUGUUCUUCCUGGAGUAGAUUUAUCCUUAUGGGCAAAACCAACUGCUAUCUGCUAAAAGUACUUCAGUGACUCCCCAUUGUUCUCAGAGUACAGAGUAGGAUCCUUUAUGAUCUUGCUGACAUUUACCUCUCUGCUUUGCCUCCUUUCCCACAACCAUGGGUUCUGCAGUUCAUGAAUGCAGACAGUUUGCAAUUCCCCAAAUGUGCGUGCUCUCUCUUGGCUCUGUGCCGGUGUACAUACCGUUCCCUUUACCUAGAAGCUUCCCUUCCACUCCCUGCUCCUAACUCCAGCUUAUUCAUGGCUCAGGUUUCAGUGUAAAUACCACAGUAUCCAGAAAAUUUUCUCUACAUCCUUGGAGCCUGGGAGCAAUGCACCUCUGGAUGCCCACAUCAUUUCCCAUGAUGGCCCCAUACCUGACACGGUGCUUACCUGUUUACAGGGAGGUCUGCAGGGUGGAUUCUGUUUUGGC